GUGGGGAAUAUUGGACAAUGGGCGCAAGCCUGAUCCAGCCAUGCCGCGUGAGUGAUGAAGGCCUUAGGGUUGUAAAGCUCUUUCACCGGUGAAGAUAAUGACGGUAACCGGAGAAGAAGCCCCGGCUAACUUCGUGCCAGCAGCCGCGGUAAUACGAAGGGGGCUAGCGUUGUUCGGAAUUACUGGGCGUAAAGCGCACGUAGUCUGAUAUUUAAGUCAGGGGUGAAAUCCCGGGGCUCAACCCCGGAACUGCCUUUGAUACUGGGUAUCUUGAGUAUGGAAGAGGUCAGUGGAAUUGCGAGUGUAGAGGUGAAAGUCGUAGAUAUUCGCAGGAACACCAGUGGCGAAGGCGGCUGACUGGUCCAUUACUGACGCUGAGGUGCGAAAGCGUGGGGAGCAAACAGGAUUAGAAACCCUGGUAGUCC
rnacentral:rRNA from 1 species